rnacentral:rRNA from 1 species
GAUGAACGCUGGCGGCGUGCUUAAUACAUGCAAGUCGAACGAAGACAUCUGAGUGCUUGCACUUGGAUGGACUGAGUGGCGGACGGGUGAGUAACGCGUGGGUAACCUGCCUUAUACAGGGGGAUAACAGUUGGAAACGACUGCUAAUACCGCAUAAGCGCACGGUAUCGCAUGAUACAGUGUGAAAAACUCCGGUGGUAUAAGAUGGACCCGCGUCUGAUUAGCUUGUUGGUGAGGUAACGGCCCACCAAGGCGACGAUCAGUAGCCGGACUGAGAGGUUGAACGGCCACAUUGGGACUGAGAUACGGCCCAGACUCCUACGGGAGGCAGCAGUGGGGAAUAUUGGGCAAUGGGCGCAAGCCUGACCCAGCAACGCCGCGUGAAGGAAGAAGGCUUUCGGGUUGUAAACUUCUUUUGUCAGGGACGAGUAGAAGACGGUACCUGACGAAUAAGCCACGGCUAACUACGUG